ensembl:Mt_tRNA
GUUCUUGUAGUUGAAUCACAACGGUGGCUUUUCAUGUCACAGGUCUUGGUCAGAUCCAUGCAGGAAUU